UGUGUGUGUGUGUGUGUGUGUGUGUGUGUAGACAGGAGGCUGAUGGAAAGCUGUACGUACGAUAUCAGGUUUUGGGGCAUAACCACGUUGCCGUGCCGACGCACUUCUUCAAGGUGCUGAUCCUGGAGCAGAUGGAUGGCAGGGGGGUGGAGCUUCGGUCGUACGUCUUACCGAACGAACCAAUCGAGGAGAAGGUCCCUCUGGAGCGCUUCCUGGUUCCCAUAGAAACCAUCGAGAGGGCGGCGGGGCUGCAGUUCAUCCCGAACAUCAUGAAGAGAACGAGCCGUCUGCAGAGCAUCACUGCACGAUAACACCCACAAUGCACUGCAGGAGGAACGCCCACAAUGCACUGCAGGAUUAACGCCCACAAUGCACUGCAGGAUGAACACCCACAAUGCACUGCAGGAUGAACACCCACAAUGCACUGCAGGAUGAACGCCCACAAUGCACUGCAGGCUUACCUGUCGCCUCAUGGCUGAACAAUAAUCUGAGUUUAUGUGUUAAGUGUUUCUGUAAAUAAAUCAACUGUAAUUAUCUCCA